GCUAUAACGAAUUCACCUAAAACAAUUAACCAAAAUAUAGCAACUAUAACCAAUUCUUAAACAAACUCAAUCAACAAAUUCAAACUAAAUGAUGAACAACAAAGAACCAACUAAAAUUAUUUUAACUAAAUAAUAUUUUUAACAACAAACAUACUUUCAGAUUCAACAAUAACAAACGAGUAAAUUCAAAAUCACUACACUCAGAUUCAAAUUAAACUUAACAGAACGAUAAAACAAAUUCAACUCACCAAAUUUAAUCAUCAAUUGAACUUCAAAUUAAAUCAAACAACAUUACAAUUAAGAUAAAAAUUCAAGUGAUCAACUAAAACAUUUCUAUAUUAAAACUAAACAAGAAUCAAAUAUACUGAAGAAAUAAUCAAGAAAUGAACAAGAAAAUAAUAUACUGAUUUUAGAUCCUAAAAUAUCAAAUAAAAUACGGACGAAAAUGAAACUUGAAACCAACUAACCGGAUCGGAAUAACGACGAAAUUGAACAGACACAAUCUGCCCGGAAAACACAAACCAAGACUGUCAACGAACCUCUACUCUCACCUUCUCUCUCGACGAUGGGAGCUAUGACUGCUCGAGGGUUGUGACAGUGGGUGUUUGGCGUGGAGUUGUUGACGACGAGCUGGGUGUCGUUUGGGACGGGAGCUGGUGUUACUGUGAGCGGCUGGACUGAACGAAGAAGAUCGUUAGCGAUGGAGGGCGAGUGUUUCGCUGGAAAAACGAGAGGCGGGCUGGCAUGUGGUUGUUUCAGGUGACUGGGUGGUGGUGCGACUGGUGAUGUCGCUAGUUGAGACGGGAAGGGCUGGGGGCUGGUUGUUGGGGUCGUUUGGAUGCUUU
rnacentral:lncRNA from 1 species